rnacentral:rRNA from 1 species
AUUGAACGCUGGCGGCAGGCUUAACACAUGCAAGUCGAGCGGGGUUUUGGACCUAGCGGCGGACGGGUGAGUAAUGCGUAGGAAGCUGCCCGAUAGAGGGGGAUACCAGUUGGAAACGACUGUUAAUACCGCAUAAUGUCUACGGACCAAAGUGUGGGACCUUCGGGCCACAUGCUAUCGGAUGCGCCUACGUGGGAUUAGCUAGUUGGUGAGGUAAUGGCUCACCAAGGCGACGAUCUCUAGCUGGUUUGAGAGGAUGAUCAGCCACACUGGAACUGAGACACGGUCCAGACUCCUACGGGAGGCAGCAGUGGGGAAUAUUGGACAAUGGGCGCAAGCCUGAUCCAGCCAUGCCGCGUGUGUGAAGAAGGCCUUCGGGUUGUAAAGCACUUUCAGCGAGGAGGAAGGGGUGUGUGUUAAUAGUACACACCUUUGACGUUACUCGCAGAAGAAGCACCGGCUAACUCUGUGCCAGCAGCCGCAGUAA